UCAAUUACCUUGUACCCCUGCACAGUGAGUCGGUACUGGUACUCCGUGUAUAUAGCCAAGUUAUCGUUACUCAUUGUGUAUUUAUUCCUCAUGUUAUUAUUUUUCUCUCUGCAUUGUUGGGAAGGGCUGUAAGUAAGCAUUUCACUGUUUCUCUACACCUGUUGUUUACAAAGCAUGUGACAAAUAAAAUUUGAUUUGAUUUGAAAGGCCUUAAACGUCUUAUCCUGAUAAGACCUUAACCGGGAUAUGAGCCAACUUUGAAUGUGUGUAAGCUGUAACGAACACAAUGAGGGCGUCUGCUAAAAGACUAAACUAUGACGAAUCAGAAGUGAAUGAUUUUUGUUUCCUCAUUUCUUCUCUGUUAAUUCAUGAUUGAACAAACAAGACAUAUAUAAACCAUAUAAAAGAGCCAUGAUGUCUGAGGUGCUGAGUACAGUGGAACUCUGAUUUCUCACUGCUAAUUUCCUGCAUCAUAUCGGGGCAGACGGGUUGCCUUCCACAUUAACAAUGUUCCAGUGCUGUUGUUGUAGAGACAACAGUCUUAUUUACAAAGCAGAGGUGUUCACUGGAGAAAUGCUGUACGCCGGCACAAUGAACAGUAUCUAUAUACAACUCCGUGGCACAAUGGAUUCAAGCCAUCGCAUCUGCCUCCCAAAAAGUAGAUUCAUUGGGGGCCACCCCCGAGGGGCUGUGAGUAACCCAUUGCUACAACUUUCCUUCCUUUGACCAUCUGUCCAUUUGGGUGACAAAAUCUAAAUCCAUUCACAUUAUUUUCAUUCUUAUGACUAGCAUACACUAAGCUAACAUGUGGAAUUGUUUAAGGACCCCUUAAGGUAUCCCCAAAAAUAUUUGAUGAAACAUUGAGUUUGGCCUUACUGCUCUUAGCCCAUAGAAAACAUCAUACAUGGAUGAACAGAUUAUCUA